UUAAGCGACUAAGCGUACACGGUGGAUGCCCUGGCAGUCAGAGGCGAUGAAGGACGUGCUAAUCUGCGAAAAGCGUCGGUAAGGUGAUAUGAACCGUUAUAGCCGGCGAUGUCCGAAUGGGGAAACCCAGUGCAAUUCGUUGCACUAUCGUUUGAUGAAUACAUAGUCAAACGAGGCGAACCGGGGGAACUGAAACAUCUAAGUACCCCGAGGAAAAGAAAUCAACCGAGAUUCCCCCAGUAGCGGCGAGCGAACGGGGAGCAGCCCGGAGUCUGAAUCAGCUUGUGUGUUAGUGGAAGCGUCUGGAAAGUCGCAGGGUACAGGGUGAUACUCCCGUACACUAAAGCACACAGGUUGUGAACUCGAAGAGUAGGGCGGGACACGUGGUAUCCUGUCUGAAUAUGGGGGGACCAUCCUCCAAGGCUAAAUACUCCUGACUGACCGAUAGUGAACCAGUACCGUGAGGGAAAGGCGAAAAGAACCCCGGCGAGGGGAGUGAAAAAGAACCUGAAACCGUGUACGUACAAGCAGUAGGAGCCUCUUUAUGGGGUGACUGCGUACCUUUUGUAUAAUGGGUCAGCGACUUAUAUUCUGUAGCAAGGUUAACCGUAUAGGGGAGCCGCAGGGAAACCGAGUCUUAACUGGGCGUUAAGUUGCAGGGUAUAGACCCGAAACCCGGUGAUCUAGCCAUGGGCAGGUUGAAGGUUGGGUAACACUAACUGGAGGACCGAACCGACUAAUGUUGAAAAAUUAGCGGAUGACUUGUGGCUGGGGGUGAAAGGCCAAUCAAACCGGGAGAUAGCUGGUUCUCCCCGAAAGCUAUUUAGGUAGCGCCUCGUGAACUCAUCUUCGGGGGUAGAGCACUGUUUCGGCUAGGGGGUCAUCCCGACUUACCAACCCGAUGCAAACUACGAAUACCGAAGAAUGUUAUCACGGGAGACACACGGCGGGUGCUAACGUCCGUCGUGAAGAGGGAAACAACCCAGACCGCCAGCUAAGGUCCCAAAGUCAUGGUUAAGUGGGAAACGAUGUGGGAAGGCCCAGACAGCCAGGAUGUUGGCUUAGAAGCAGCCAUCAUUUAAAGAAAGCGUAAUAGCUCACUGGUCGAGUCGGCCUGCGCGGAAGAUGUAACGGGGCUAAACCAUGCACCGAAGCUGCGGCAGCGACACUAUGUGUUGUUGGGUAGGGGAGCGUUCUGUAAGCCGUUGAAGGUGGCCUGUGAGGGUUGCUGGAGGUAUCAGAAGUGCGAAUGCUGACAUAAGUAACGAUAAUGCGGGUGAAAAACCCGCACGCCGGAAGACCAAGGGUUCCUGUCCAACGUUAAUCGGGGCAGGGUGAGUCGACCCCUAAGGCGAGGCCGAAAGGCGUAGUCGAUGGGAAACAGGUUAAUAUUCCUGUACUCGGUGUUACUGCGAAGGGGGGACGGAGAAGGCUAUGUUGGCCGGGCGACGGUUGUCCCGGUUUAAGCAUGUAGGCGGAUGUUCCAGGUAAAUCCGGAACGUUAUUAACGCUGAGGUGUGAUGACGAGGCACUACGGUGCUGAAGUGACAAAUGCCCUGCUUCCAGGAAAAGCCUCUAAGCAUCAGGUAACAUCAAAUCGUACCCCAAACCGACACAGGUGGUCAGGUAGAGAAUACCAAGGCGCUUGAGAGAACUCGGGUGAAGGAACUAGGCAAAAUGGUGCCGUAACUUCGGGAGAAGGCACGCUGAUAUGUAGGUGAAGUGGUUUACCCAUGGAGCUGAAAUCAGUCGAAGAUACCAGCUGGCUGCAACUGUUUAUUAAAAACACAGCACUGUGCAAACACGAAAGUGGACGUAUACGGUGUGACGCCUGCCCGGUGCCGGAAGGUUAAUUGAUGGGGUUAUCCGUAAGGAGAAGCUCUUGAUCGAAGCCCCGGUAAACGGCGGCCGUAACUAUAACGGUCCUAAGGUAGCGAAAUUCCUUGUCGGGUAAGUUCCGACCUGCACGAAUGGCGUAAUGAUGGCCAGGCUGUCUCCACCCGAGACUCAGUGAAAUUGAACUCGCUGUGAAGAUGCAGUGUACCCGCGGCAAGACGGAAAGACCCCGUGAACCUUUACUAUAGCUUGACACUGAACACUGGUCCUUGAUGUGUAGGAUAGGUGGGAGGCUUUGAAGUGUGGACGCCAGUCUGCAUGGAGCCAUCCUUGAAAUACCACCCUUUAAUGGCUGGUGUUCUAACGUGGGCCCCUAAUCGGGGUUGCGGACAGUGUCUGGUGGGUAGUUUGACUGGGGCGGUCUCCUCCUAAAGAGUAACGGAGGAGCACGAAGGUCAGCUAAUCCUGGUCGGACAUCAGGAGGUUAGUGCAAUGGCAUAAGCUGGCUUGACUGCGAGCGUGACGGCGCGAGCAGGUGCGAAAGCAGGUCAUAGUGAUCCGGUGGUUCUGAAUGGAAGGGCCAUCGCUCAACGGAUAAAAGGUACUCCGGGGAUAACAGGCUGAUACCGCCCAAGAGUUCAUAUCGACGGCGGUGUUUGGCACCUCGAUGUCGGCUCAUCACAUCCUGGGGCUGAAGUAGGUCCCAAGGGUAUGGCUGUUCGCCAUUUAAAGUGGUACGCGAGCUGGGUUUAGAACGUCGUGAGACAGUUCGGUCCCUAUCUGCCGUGGGCGCUGGAGAAUUGAGGGGGGCUGCUCCUAGUACGAGAGGACCGGAGUGGACGCAUCACUGGUGUUCGGGUUGUCAUGCCAAUGGCAUUGCCCGGUAGCUAAAUGCGGAAGAGAUAAGUGCUGAAAGCAUCUAAGCACGAAACUUGCCCCGA
rnacentral:rRNA from 1 species